AGAACCGGUAAGCUACCAGCUACCUCUGACUUGUUUGUGACAGGUAUAAAUACUCAAUAUUUAAACUAUUGAGGCUGAAAUGUCAUACUGGUAGCCAGUGCCAACAUUUGCAACCUACUUUGUUGAAAUCACCAACAUUUUCCAGACUUCCUAACCUUUUAGAUUUUAGCUUUUUGGCAAUUAUUUUAUUUUAACAAUGAAAUUAAACAUUAUAUAGAAGCAUUAAAUCUUCUAAUAUAUUUUAAUGAUUUAGAGAAUAAGAAAAUAUCUCAUGAUUAACACUGGAAAAAUAAUGAUAACUGGCUAAU
rnacentral:lncRNA from 1 species